rnacentral:rRNA from 1 species
GGGAAAUAGCCCAGAACAUCAACUAAGGUCCUUAAUUUAAGCUAAGUAUAAACAAGGUAUAACAUUUGUUGUUUUGUUUGGGAAGUAGGCUUGGAAGCAGCCAUCUUUUAAAGAAAGCGUAAUAGCUCACCAAGCUAGUUUUAACAUUGUUUACUAUAAAUUAACGGGAUUUAAGCUUAAAACCGAAGUUAUGUAAUACACACAUAAUAAAAAAACGUGUAUUGGUAGCGGAACGCUCUGUAUUUGCUUAAGUUGAGCCGUUAGGUUCGAUUAUAAAUCAGAGGUGAGUAUGCUGACAUGAGUAGCGCAUAUAGUGUUUAUCGUAUUUAAAAACACUAUCGUCGGAAGUCCAAGGGUUUCUACGUAAAGUUAAACUGCGUAGAGGUAGUCGGUCUCUAAGG